GCCAAUGAUGAAAUGUGGGAAUGAAUUUUGGCAGGGUUGAUGCUGAACAUGCUAGACUCAGCCUACAGCCCCAUAUCCAGCCCUGUGUAAUCUUGGUGAUUGCUGCCCUUCUAGGCUCUCACUGUAAGGCCGCAGGGACAGUGGAGCCAACGUUGAGCAGUAAUCUUUUAUAGGAAUCAAAUGAGGUUAUUGAUUUGCUACUGCUUGGGUUGAACAUAAUGGAGUUUAAUUUGGAUCUGGCUGUAGGAGCAUGUUCUAGCUCUCCUGCUAAAUAUGAUUAUUCUUUAGUAAUCUGAUGGCU
rnacentral:snoRNA from 1 species